UAAAAGCUCAGCUCUAAGCUUGUCUUGACUGCUCAGGACUCCACAGUUCACCAUGAGGCUCCCUGCUCAGCUCCUGGGGCUGCUAAUGCUCUGCGUCCCCGGAUCCAGUGGGGAUGUUGUGAUGACUCAGUCUCCACUCUCCCUGCCCGUCACCCCUGGGCAGCCGGCCUCCAUCUCCUGCAGGUCUAGUCAAAGCCUUGUACACAGUAAUGGAAACACCUACUUGAAUUGGUUUCAGCAGAAGCCAGGCCAACCUCCAAGGCUCCUAAUAUAUAAGGAGAGCUCCUCUGCCUGUGCCAAGUCAGAGCUUGUGUCCAUAGGCAAACUUGGCGACUGUGGCAGGAGGACAAAAAGUCAGGCACCAGUUUGGAGUUUGGAGAUGCUGCACGUUCUCCUGUGAGCAGAACACUCACCAGGACCCUGCACAGCCUGAGGGCCUCAAACACAGCCUCCCUAGUAGGCUCAGCCUCUCAUUGCAGCACCAGUAACUGCAGCACCCAGAGAUGGAGCCCACAGCAGUUGGGCUGGAGAAGAUGGUGAAGACGGCUGGAGAGCCUUUGAAGAGGAGGCCAUGAGUCCUCACUUACAGGCAUGGGCUUCACUUCUGUGCGAACAGGGCCAGGGCCCCCAGGAAGCCUCCCAGAGCCUCUCCCUUCCUCCC